CGGCACAACAUGUAUGCUCGUGCUCGCUGUCGCCGCAGGGAAUCCGGUGUAAAUCCGGAACUGUCCCGCAACGGUGUGCGAUGGGCGGACUCGUGCUGCCCGUCGUGAGUCCGACCACUGCGGACGGCACCAACCAUGU
rnacentral:ncRNA from 2 species